rnacentral:rRNA from 1 species
AGGAUUAACGCUGGCGGCGUGCCUAACACAUGCAAGUCGAACGAGGUAGCAAUACCUAGUGGCAGACGGGUGAGUAACACGUGGUCAACCUACCUUCGAGUGGGGGAUAACUAGCCGAAAGGUUAGCUAAUACCGCAUAAAACGUGGCUCGGCAUCGAGCAACGUUAAAAGGAGCAAUCCGCUUGAAGACGGGACCGCGUCCGAUUAGUUAGUUGGUGGGGUAACGGCCUACCAAGACUCCGAUCGGUAGCUGGUUUGAGAGAGCGACCAGCCACACUGGGACUGAGAAACGGCCCAGACUCCUACGGGAGGCAGCAGUGAGGAAUUUUGGACAAUGGGGGAAACCCUGAUCCAGCCAUGCCGCGUGAGUGAAGAAGGCCUUCGGGUUGUAAAGCUCUUUGGUCGGGAGAAAGGUUUCCUUGAAUACGGGAGAAGUUUUGACGGUACCGGCAGAAUAAGCACCGGCUAACUACGUGCCAGCAGCCGC